AUGAUGUCAGUGUCUCAACAUUUCACCAACCUGGAUUUUCACAAAGCACAUCAGUCUCGUUGUCUGGAAUCAGGUAUUCAGCACCACAUUCCUAUUCCAGAAUGGAACUCCAAGUGGAGAUUCUGUUCAGAUGCCUUGAAGUCAGGAAGUCAUGUCACAAGUAAUGCAGACCUGAGCAAAGAACACAUCCAAGUUAGUGACCCACUAGUCUGUAUAUUACUACAAGAGGCUUUGGGAACACUGGACAAGGAGGCCAUCAGAUCAAAGUUAGCAUCACCAAAAAUCAGAUAUAUGCUUGUCAUUGAGGAUCAUCAUUUACAGCCAGUCACCACAUGCUGA
rnacentral:lncRNA from 1 species